GACGAACGCUGGCGGCGUGCCUAAUACAUGCAAGUGGGACGCAAGGAAACACACUGUGCUUGCACACCGUGUUUUCUUGAGUCGCGAACGGGUGAGUAACGCGUAGGUAACCUGCCUAUUAGCGGGGGAUAACUAUUGGAAACGAUAGCUAAUACCGCAUAAUAUUAAUUAUUGCAUGAUAAUUGAUUGAAAGAUGCAAGCGCAUCACUAGUAGAUGGACCUGCGCUGUAUUAGCUAGUUGGUAAGGUAAGAGCUUACCAAGGCGACGAUACAUAGCCGACCUGAGAGGGUGAUCGGCCACACUGGGACUGAGACACGGCCCAGACUCCUACGGGAGGCAGCAGUAGGGAAUCUUCGGCAAUGGACGAAAGUCUGACCGAGCAACGCCGCGUGAGUGAAGAAGGUUUUCGGAUCGUAAAGCUCUGUUGUAAGUCAAGAACGUGUGUGAGAGUGGAAAGUUCACACAGUGACGGUAGCUUACCAGAAAGGGACGGCUAACUACGUG
rnacentral:rRNA from 1 species